GCGGGCGUAGUUCAAUGGCAGAACGCAAGCUUCCCAAGCUUGUCAUGGCGGUUCGAUUCCGCUCGCCCGCU
rnacentral:tRNA from 1 species